rnacentral:rRNA from 1 species
AGUGAACGCUGGCGGUAGGCCUAACACAUGCAAGUCGAACGGCAGCACAGUAAGAGCUUGCUCUUACGGGUGGCGAGUGGCGGACGGGUGAGGAAUACAUCGGAAUCUACUUUUUCGUGGGGGAUAACGUAGGGAAACUUACGCUAAUACCGCAUACGACCUACGGGUGAAAGCAGGGGAUCUUCGGACCUUGCGCGAUUGAAUGAGCCGAUGUCGGAUUAGCUAGUUGGCGGGGUAAAGGCCCACCAAGGCGACGAUCCGUAGCUGGUCUGAGAGGAUGAUCCGCCACACUGGAACUGAGACACGGUCCAGACUCCUACGGGAGGCAGCAGUGGGGAAUAUUGCGCGAUGGGCGAAAGCCUGAUCCAGCGAUACCGCGUGGGUGAAGACGGCCUCAGGGUUGUAGAGCCCUUUUGUUGGGAAAGAAAAGCAGUAGUUUAAUACCCCGCUGUUCUGACGGUACCCAAAGAAGAAGCCCCGGCUAACUUCGUG